UUUUACACCACAUUGAACCAGUUUGACAUUGCGAGCGUUUGUUUUUGUUGUUUUUGUUGUCAGAGAGAAGUGCCUACAGGAGAACGCGCAAAAAAAGAAAAAGAGACCGAGGACACGGUGAAGAAGGGAUUCCUGGGACCACUCCAGCUGCUCGGUAAAUAGCUUCAGCCAAGGCGCCCCCGCUGGUCGGCGGUCGAUUCAGAAGACGUUUCUGUGGAUGAGGCCAACAACAUGCAGGACAUUUGAACUUCUUCAAGGUGAACGACCAACAUCAGAAGAACGAUUCCACGCAUGUUUCGAUGAGCAAAGACCGCCUCCGCGACGUUACCAAUCGCCAUCCUGAUCUUCAUCGACCUUAUCGGUUGAAACUUGUCCUGUUUCCGUGGGACAGUCCGCGGGACUUCUGAACCUUAUGACGGCUGGGAAGCCUCACGGCCGAGCUGCGAGAAAACGCGCCACAACAGAUCGUUCAACCAGUGCUGGCCCCUCUGCCAGCUGACGACCCGGACAGUUCCAGCGGAAAUGAACUUAGCUAUCUUGAGACUCUAGUGGCGGUCACAGUCGAAAUGGAACGUGAGAUGUUGAGAUUAAAAAAGUAAAAAUAAAAAUAGUUGAAAAAUGAAACUCGAAUAAAAUUGAACUCUAAGCGAGACUCAAAGGU